rnacentral:rRNA from 1 species
UACGUAGGUGGCGAACGUUGUCCGGAUUUACUGGGCGUAAAGAGCGCGCAGGCGGCUGGUCAAGUCCGAUGUGAAAGCUCCCGGCUUAACUGGGAAAUUGCAUCGGAAACUGAUCGGCUGGAAGGUGGGAGAGGGUAGCGGAAUUCCCGGUGUAGUGGUGAAAUGCGUAGAUAUCGGGAGGAACACCAGUGGCGAAAGCGGCUACCUGGCCCAUUCUUGACGCUGAGGCGCGAAAGCUAGGGGAGCAAACGGG